GGUACGUUGACUUAACUAGAGUAUGUGUCGCCUCAACUUAAAAACAUAUGCUGAACCAUUAAGGUAUAAGUUCUCAUUAUUUAUCGCGAGAUCACGUGAAGCGCGAAACAGGACUUGUUCAUCGGCAUUGCUGGCAGCUGGAGAGUUUGUCGGCACGUGGCAGAUUUAUCUUCCAUCAUCAUCAAAUCUGGCAUCAAAUCAACGAAAGAGGGUUGCAGUACUGCAGAGGCUGCCAUGGUUCAUGCAUGAGAAUCCAUCGCAAUUCAUAAAGAUCUGUGAGCACACAGAUUCCGAAGAAGAAAUGAUCAGGAGCAUGACUCUAGGAAUCAUCACAGCGGUGGAAGAUGUGACGGACCCCAUUCCAUGCGACUCUAAUGAUGUGGCCCUUGUUAUAGAGGAAGC